GCCUUUACAGUAAGGAUGGCCAAGCAAUAUAAGGCACCAGAUUUAAGCUCUUGAUUUCAAAUAGAGCGUGGGUUCAAACUCCACUCUAGACA